rnacentral:tRNA from 1 species
GGCGUGAUGUUCAGGCGACUAAGGGACUCAUAAUCCUUCGGUCGUGGGUUCAAGCCCCACUCGCCCCA